UGGAUAGAAAUUAUUGGAAGGUUAGGUUCUGAAGAGAACUUUGGUGGUUGAGGAUUUUUAGUUCAAUUUGAACAGGUAACGAUACAAGCCGAAAUGCCGGAGGAGGACCUGGUAGAGCUUAAGUUUAGAUUGUAUGAUGGAUCGGAUAUUGGUCCAUUCAGGUACUCACCGGCCUCCACUGUGGCUAUGCUCAAGGAGAGAAUAGUUACUGAGUGGCCAAAAGAUAAGAAAAUUUCUCCCAAGGCAGCAA
rnacentral:misc_RNA from 1 species